rnacentral:rRNA from 1 species
CCUUGUACACACCGCCCGUCACACCAUGGGAGUUGGUUCUACCCGAAGACGAUGCGCCAACCGCGAAGGGGGCAGUCGGCCACGGUAGGGUCAGCGACUGGGGUG